CGACGAACAGCCGCUAUUUGCUCUUUAGGUCAACCGCCGUUGAGAUGGGAAGGGAGUUCCCCCCUCCGGUUUCUGUUAGCCCUGGGAAGAAGAAGAAGAGCUGCGAAGAAUCCAGCGAACCAAGGCAGCAGCCAACACGGAAGUCCCUACGGUUAGCUGAACAAAAAGAAUCCAAGGACAGACAGGCCGAGCUGGGUCUCACCACCACAGGUUCAACACUGACCCAGAUUGGCUCUAGUGAGGGAGGCGAUCCGACUAAUCCAUGAAACAUGGGCAUCCACACACCCUUCCAGCCAUCAUUGCAACAGCAAACACUCUCAAUGGUAACUGAUCAUAGUAAAUAGUAUGACAACAUAUGGACCCUUACCUGUUCUUUCACCUUCUCUUCUCGUUACAUGCUUUCCUA